CAGAUGGAAGAGCUACUCGGUAGAGUG
rnacentral:sRNA from 1 species